rnacentral:rRNA from 1 species
AUUGAACGCUGGCGGCAGGCCUAACACAUGCAAGUCGAGCGGAUGAAGGGAGCUUGCUCCUGGAUUCAGCGGCGGACGGGUGAGUAAUGCCUAGGAAUCUGCCUGGUAGUGGGGUCUACGGCCGGAAAGGGGGGCUAAUUCCGCAAAAGGCCCGGAGGAGGAAAGGGGGGGAUCUGGGGACCCACGGUCAUAGAUGGACCCUAGGUGGGAUUGGCUAGUUGGUGGGUUAAAGGCUUACCAAGGCGACGAUCCGAAACUGGUCUGAGAGGAUGAUCAGUCACACUGGAACUGAGACACGGUCCAGACUCCUACGGGAGGCAGCAGUGGGGAAUAUUGAACAAUGGGCGAAAGCCUGAUCCAGCCAUGCCGCGUGUGUGAAGAAGGUCUUCGGAUUGUAAAGCACUUCAAGUUGGGAGGAAGGGCAGUAAGUUAAUACCUUGCUGUUUUGACGUUACCAACAGAAUAAGCACCGGCUAACUUCGUG